GUGCUCACUUCAGCAGCACAUAUACUAAAACUGGAAUGAUACAGAGAAGAUCAGCAUGGCCCCUGCACAAGGAUGACAUGGAAAUUUGUGAAGCAUUCCAAGAAAAA
rnacentral:snRNA from 1 species